GACGAACGCUGGCGGCGUGCUUAACACAUGCAAGUCGAACGGAAAGGCCCUGCUUUUGUGGGGUGCUCGAGUGGCGAACGGGUGAGUAACACGUGAGUAACCUGCCCUUGACUUUGGGAUAACUUCAGGAAACUGGGGCUAAUACCGGAUAGGAGCUCCUGCUGCAUGGUGGGGGUUGGAAAGUUUCGGCGGUUGGGGAUGGACUCGCGGCUUAUCAGCUUGUUGGUGGGGUAGUGGCUUACCAAGGCUUUGACGGGUAGCCGGCCUGAGAGGGUGACCGGCCACAUUGGGACUGAGAUACGGCCCAGACUCCUACGGGAGGCAGAAGUGGGGAAUAUUGCACAAUGGGCGGAAGCCUGAUGCAGCAACGCCGCGUGCGGGAUGACGGCCUUCGGGCUGUAAACCGCUUUCGCCUGUGACGAAGCGUGAGUGACGGUAAUGGGUAAAGAAGCACCGGCUAACUACGUG
rnacentral:rRNA from 1 species